rnacentral:rRNA from 1 species
UACGGGGGGGAGCAAGCGUUUGUUCGGAUUUAUUGGGCGUAAAGAGCUCGUAGGCGGCUUGUCGCGUCGGCUGUGAAAACCUGGGGCUCAACCCCGGGCCUGCAGCCGAUACGGGCAAGCUAGAAUUCGGUAGGGGAGACUGGAAUUCCUGGUGUAGCGGUGAAAUGCGCAGAUAUCAGGAAGAACACCUAUGGCGAAGGCAGCUCUCUGGGACGGUACUGACG